CUCAGGAUGAAGAGAAAAAGGACCCUCUUUCAGCUGAAGGUGGUGAGACGGGAGCGAGCGCUGAUGGAGGUGAAGAUGCUGACAAGACUAAAGAGCUUACAACAACAACAGCAGAAAGCAAAGACUUCCCUACACUAACCGGGGGAGCACAGCGGUUCCCGGAUGGCAUUGACGAUGGUCACCUGAGUGAUGAUGAGGGGGAAGAAGAGAAGGGGAAGGAUAAAAAGAAGAAGUUAAAGAAGAAAAAGGGCUCCUCGUCUUCUGAUAGUUGUUCAGACAGUGAGGAUGAGAAGAAGAAAAAGAA